rnacentral:rRNA from 1 species
AUUGGACGCUGGCGGCGUGCUUAACACAUGCAAGUCGUACGCGAAAGGGGCUUCGGUCCCGAGUAAAGUGGCGCACGGGUGAGUAACACGUGGAUAAUCUGCCUCUAUGAUGGGGAUAACAGUUGGAAACGACUGCUAAUACCGAAUACGCUCAUGAUGAACUUUGUGAGGAAAGGUGGCCUCUGCUUGCAAGCUAUCGCAUAGAGAUGAGUCCGCGUCCCAUUAGCUAGUUGGUGGGGUAACGGCCUACCAAGGCAACGAUGGGUAGCCGAUCUGAGAGGGAUGAUCGGCCACACUGGAACUGAAACACGGUCCAGACCCCUACGGGAGGCAGCAGUGGGGAAUAUUGCGCAAUGGGCGAAAGCCUGACGCAGCGACGCCGCGUGAGGGGAUGAAGGGUCUUCGGGAUCGGUAAACCUCUGUCAGAAGGGAAGAAACUAGGGUGCUCUAAAUCAAUCAAUCCUACUGACGGGUACCUUUCAAAAGGAAAGCACCGGGCUAAAC